CAAGUGAUUUGAGAGUGAUAAUGAUAAGGACGAUAACAACAAUCACAUAAUCAUACCAGGUAACAGUGGAAGACAAGAGUGCUCUUCGAAAGGAGUGACGCUGUUGUUGGUGAAACUGCAUCAGAAGUUGUCCAAGUCACUUCCUUGGUACAUGAGACCUAAGAUGAAUUCCAACAUCUUCCCUUCCUGGACCCAGUACUGCAUCCCUCUUUCUCUCCAAUGACAACGUCUCUCCAAAGGGUGGAAGGCAUUUUCACUGCACCCAGGACUCCUUUCACUGCCCCAUCCUCUUAAAGACAGCCAUGCUCAGUGAUCCCAAGCUGAUUUUCUGUUAUAUACUGUGAUGCCAUAACUGAUUACUUCUUCUAUUAAAGAAGAUAAAGAUAUACAUUUUAAUUUUAGUGAAACAUCCCCUGUGGUUAAGAGGACAUCCUGUUAUAUAAGAAGCCCAGGAGUGGGAGAACAGAGGAUUGAGUGACGCUUCAUAGAUUUCUGGUUGUGGGGUCAACUUAGAGACUGACUCAAAAUUGACGUAAAUAGGAAAACAGUAAUGGCUUUGAGGGGGAAUGAGUAAGCUGGUUUAAAGUCUACAGGGAGCAAUAUCCUACAUAGAUGAAUAAGACAAACAAGAAAUAUUCUUGAAUGGAGCAAGAAUGUGGGAAACAUUUAAAUGAGAAAAUGGAGAUGAAAUAAAGAAAUGCAGAGAGCUUUGAAGUCCACAUAGAAGACUUUAGAAGACAGUAAUAACUAACAUUAUCCACCCAGCACUCAUCUAAGCUCUUUAGAUAUAUCACUUUAUGUAAUCUUCACAAGUCUAUGAGGUAGAUACUAGUAUUUUUCCCAUUUUACAGAUUAGGAAACCAAGGCACAAAAUGAUGGAGUGCCUUACCCAAAGCCACACAGCAACUAAGUGGUGAAGACAGUUGAAAUUCGAAGCAUAAUCUCUAUUCUAUACUAGCAUUCAUUUGUCA
rnacentral:lncRNA from 1 species